UUGAAGAGUUUGAUCAUGGCUCAGAUUGAACGCUGGCGGCAGGCCUAACACAUGCAAGUCGAGCGGUAGCACAGAGAGCUUGCUCUCGGGUGACGAGCGGCGGACGGGUGAGUAAUGUCUGGGAAACUGCCUGAUGGAGGGGGAUAACUACUGGAAACGGUAGCUAAUACCGCAUAAYGUCGCAAGACCAAAGUGGGGGACCUUCGGGCCUCAUGCCAUCAGAUGUGCCCAGAUGGGAUUAGCUAGUAGGUGGGGUAACGGCUCACCUAGGCGACGAUCCCUAGCUGGUCUGAGAGGAUGACCAGCCACACUGGAACUGAGACACGGUCCAGACUCCUACGGGAGGCAGCAGUGGGGAAUAUUGCACAAUGGGCGCAAGCCUGAUGCAGCCAUGCCGCGUGUGUGAAGAAGGCCUUCGGGUUGUAAAGCACUUUCAGCGGGGAGGAAGGCGRURAGGUUAAUAACCUYRYCGAUUGACGUUACCCGCAGAAGAAGCACCGGCUAACUCCGUGCCAGCAGCCGCGGUAAUACGGAGGGUGCAAGCGUUAAUCGGAAUUACUGGGCGUAAAGCGCACGCAGGCGGUCUGUCAAGUCGGAUGUGAAAUCCCCGGGCUCAACCUGGGAACUGCAUUCGAAACUGGCAGGCUAGAGUCUUGUAGAGGGGGGUAGAAUUCCAGGUGUAGCGGUGAAAUGCGUAGAGAUCUGGAGGAAUACCGGUGGCGAAGGCGGCCCCCUGGACAAAGACUGACGCUCAGGUGCGAAAGCGUGGGGAGCAAACAGGAUUAGAUACCCUGGUAGUCCACGCUGUAAACGAUGUCGAUUUGGAGGUUGUGCCCUUGAGGCGUGGCUUCCGGAGCUAACGCGUUAAAUCGACCGCCUGGGGAGUACGGCCGCAAGGUUAAAACUCAAAUGAAUUGACGGGGGCCCGCACAAGCGGUGGAGCAUGUGGUUUAAUUCGAUGCAACGCGAAGAACCUUACCUGGUCUUGACAUCCACAGAACUUUCCAGAGAUGGAUUGGUGCCUUCGGGAACUGUGAGACAGGUGCUGCAUGGCUGUCGUCAGCUCGUGUUGUGAAAUGUUGGGUUAAGUCCCGCAACGAGCGCAACCCUUAUCCUUUGUUGCCAGCGGUYMGGCCGGGAACUCAAAGGAGACUGCCAGUGAUAAACUGGAGGAAGGUGGGGAUGACGUCAAGUCAUCAUGGCCCUUACGACCAGGGCUACACACGUGCUACAAUGGCAUAUACAAAGAGAAGCGACCUCGCGAGAGCAAGCGGACCUCAUAAAGUAUGUCGUAGUCCGGAUUGGAGUCUGCAACUCGACUCCAUGAAGUCGGAAUCGCUAGUAAUCGUAGAUCAGAAUGCUACGGUGAAUACGUUCCCGGGCCUUGUACACACCGCCCGUCACACCAUGGGAGUGGGUUGCAAAAGAAGUAGGUAGCUUAACCUUCGGGAGGGCGCUUACCACUUUGUGAUUCAUGACUGGGGUGAAGUCGUAACAAGGUAACCGUAGGGGAACCUGCGGUUGGAUCACCUCCUU
rnacentral:rRNA from 1 species